rnacentral:piRNA from 1 species
UGGAAAGCAGCAUAAUCUUUAAGGGU